rnacentral:rRNA from 1 species
UACGUAGGGGGCAAGCGUUGUCCGGAAUCAUUGGGCGUAAAGCGCGUGUAGGCGGCUCGAUAAGUCCGCUCUGAAAGUCCAGGGCUCAACCCUGGGAUGCGGGUGGAUACUGUCGGGCUCGAGUCCGGAAGAGGCGAGUGGAAUUCCUGGUGUAGCGGUGAAAUGCGCAGAUAUCAGGAGGAACACCAAUGGCGAAGGCAGCUCGCUGGGACGUGACUGACGCUGAGACGCGAAAGCGUGGGGGAGCAAGCAGG